rnacentral:rRNA from 1 species
AGUGAACGCUGGCGGUAGGCCUAACACAUGCAAGUCGAACGGCAGCACAGUAAGAGCUUGCUCUUACGGGUGGCGAGUGGCGGACGGGUGAGGAAUACAUCGGAAUCUACUUUUUCGUGGGGGAUAACGUAGGGAAACUUACGCUAAUACCGCAUACGACCUACGGGUGAAAGCAGGGGAUCUUCGGACCUUGCGCGAUUGAAUGAGCCGAUGUCGGAUUAGCUAGUUGGCGGGGUAAAGGCCCACCAAGGCGACGAUCCGUAGCUGGUCUGAGAGGAUGAUCGGCCACACUGGAACUGAGACACGGUCCAGACUCCUACGGGAGGCAGCAGUAGGGAAUAUUGGGCAAUGGGCGCAAGCCUGACGCAGCCAUGCCGCGUGAGUGAAGAAGGCCUUCGGGUUGUAAAGCCCUGUUGUUGGGAAAGAAAAGCAGCAGGUUAAUACCCCGAUGUUCUGACGGUACCCAAAGAGUAAGCAACGGCUAACUUCGUG